rnacentral:tRNA from 1 species
GGAGAAUUGGCCGAGUGGUUUAAGGCACCAUCUUGGAAAGGUGGCGAAGUGGCAACGCUUCCGUGAGUUCGAAUCUCAUGUUCUCCG